rnacentral:lncRNA from 1 species
CACUAGCCAAUCAUUGAAACAUUCUAGAAACUCCAGCUUGCAGUAUUCACGUGUAAAUAUUCCCCUGCAUAACAGUUUUGCCAGCUCAUUGAAGACACCUCAGCUUCUUCAUCAGCUGGCUGCUGGAUAUGGCUGCUCAGGUGGCAUGCCAACAUGGCCUUGGGGUCAACUGUUGACUCAUCUUCAUAAUCUGAAUUCUGUUGAUGGAACUCUUAUAAGAGAAGUACCGGAAAGCCUUGGUCAAUUAUCCUCACUAAAAAUUUUGGUACUAACUAAUAACGGUUUGAAGAGAUUACCAGAAAGCCUCAAUCAGUUAUCCUCACUAAAACGUUUGGUACUGUCUGAUAACCCUUUGAAGAUAUUACCAAAAAUCCUCAAUCAGUUAUCCUCACAAGAAUAUUUGGAACUGUCUGAUAACCAUUUGGAGAGAUUAAAAAAAAUCCUCUCGGAGCAGCAAAUAUCACUAGAAUAUUUGCUCCGAUCCGGAACGAGUAUCGAGGGAAUACCAGAAUACCUGAGGAGUCUUCCAAGUAAGUUGACAUCACUCAAUUUAUCUGUUGAGUUGAGAAAUUGUUUGCAAUUAGACCCGAAUGAGCUCAUUGAAAUCUUUAAAGAUGAGUGACUUAAAAUUCUUAUGAAUUGCUUAAGUAUGCAAGCAGAGCAGAAAACAAACAAUCUUUGUAUAUUAUGAUAACAUGAAUAAUAAUAGAUAUACACAUCCUUCACAUAUUUAUACUAAACGUGAAAAAUGGUAGCUUGCUCAAAGGGAAACAGAAAUGAAUAAGACAAAAGAUUACAGCUGCACUAGCCAAUCAUUGAAACAUUCUAGAAACUCCAGCUUGCAGUAUUCACGUGUAAAUAUUCCCCUGCAUAACAGUUUUGCCAGCUCAUUGAAGACACCUCAGCUUCUUCAUCAGCUGGCUGCUGGAUAUGGCUGCUCAGGUGGCAUGCCAACAUGGCCUUGGGGUCAACUGUUGACUCAUCUUCAUAAUCUGAAUUCUCAACA